rnacentral:lncRNA from 1 species
GUGGUGACGGCCGGAGAAGGUGCUCCAGUAGGUGGUGCUGGUGGGCUCGAAGUUAAGGGAGAUGGUGCAGCCGAUGGAGUCACGACUGGGGAAGAGACUGGGACGGGAGCUGGUGGUGGUGAAGCUGCAGGAGGAGGAGUGGCUGCUGGUGGUGGUGACGCGACAGGAGGGGGAGUGGCUACAGGUGGUGGUGAGGCAACAGGAGGUGGAGUGGCUACAGGUGGUGGUGAGGAUACAGGAGGUGGAGUGGCUACAGGUGGUGGUGAGCUGACUGGCGGAGGAGUGGCAACGGGUGGAGGAGUUGAGACAGGUGGCGAUGCGACGGUUGGUGGUGGNNNNNNNNNNNNNN